rnacentral:rRNA from 1 species
UACCUAGUUUAUCCUGCCAAUAGUCAUAUACUUGUCACAAAGAUUAAGCCAUGCAUGUGUAAGUAUGAACAAAUUCAAACUGUGAAACUAUGAAUGGAUCAUUAAAUCUGUUAUAGUUUAUUUGAUGGUAUCUACUACUCAGAUAACAGUAGUAAUUCCAGAGCUAAUACGUGCAACAAACACCGACUUUCGAAAUGGAUGCAUUUAUUAGAUAAAAGGUAGACGCAGGCUCUGCCCAUUGCUGCGAUGAUUCGUGAUAACUCAACAGAUCGCACGACCAUCGUUCCAGCGAUGCAUCAUUUAAAUUUUUGUCUUAUCAAGUUUCAAUGGUAGGAUAGUGGCCUACCAUAGUGGUGCCGGGUGAUGAAGAAUUAGGGUUCGAUUAUGGAGAGGGAGCCUGAGAAAUGGCUACCACAUCCAAGGAAGGCAGCAGGCGCACAAAUUACCUAGUCCUGACAUAAGGAGGUAGUGACAAUAAAUAAUAAUAUUGGGCUCAAUGAGUCUGGUAAUUGGAAUGAGUACAAUCUAAAUCCCUUAACGAGGAUCCAUUGGAGAGAGAGUCUGGUGCAAGCAGCCGUGGUAAUUCUAGCACCAAUAGCGUAUAUUUAAGUUUUUGAAGUUAAAAAGAUCAAAGUUGGACUUUGGGAUUGGCCGACAGGUCCGCCUAUGGUGUGCAUUGGUCGUUUCGUCCUUUCUGUCGGUGAUGUACUCCUGCCCUGAACUGGCUGGGUCAUACCUCCGACGCUGUUACUUUGAAGAAAUUAGAGUGCUUAAAGCAAGCCUAUGCUUUGUAUACAUUAGCAUGGGAUCAUAUUAUAGGAUUUUGGUCCUAUUACAUUGGCCUUCGGGAUCAGAGUAGUGAUUAAUAGGGACAGUCGGAGGCAUUCGUAUUUCAUAGUUAGAGGUGAAAUUAUUGGAUAUAUGAAAUACGAACAACUAUGAAAGCAUUUUCCAAGAAUGUUUUCAUUAAUCAAGAAUGAAAGUUGGGGGCUCGAAGGAGGUCAAAUACCGUCCUAGUCUCAACCAUAAAUAAUGCCGACCAGGGAUCGGCGGAUGUUUCUGGUAAGCGCAAUUUAGGUUUGCUUGAAGUCAAUUUCCUAUGUUGCAUACAUAAUGGCCAGGCAUUAUCAAGUUUUAUCGAUUUUCUUUCACACCUCGCAUUUCAUGCAUGGGGUGAAUCAAAAGGCUGCCCUCGUGUCCCAGGCCUUUGAAGCUUCGUCGUGCGGUCAUGGUCCAUGAGCGGCGGUCAGGAUUCUCAGAUACGAUAGAUGCAGUGGCAUGGGGUCUUUAUCGACUCCUAUCUAUCCUGUAUGAUGUUCUUUUCAAACAAUGGUCGCGCUCACGUUGAAUCUGCCUGCGCCUGACAGGCAGGCCGGGCUCAUGCGACGUCGGCAUCGAUGAGGAAUGGUACCUGGUUGAUCCUGGCAGUAUUCAUGUACUUGUCUUUAAGAUUAAGCCAUGCAUGUGUAAGUAUGAAAAAAGUCAGACUGUGAAACUGCGAAUGGCUCAUUAAAUCAGUUAUAGUUUAUUUGAUAGUAUCUACUACUCCGAUAACCGUAGUAAUUCUAAAGCUAAUACGUGAAACAAACCCCGACUACUUAAAGGGAUGCAUUUAUUAGAUAAAAGUUUGAUGUAGGCUCUGCCCGUUGCUGCGAUGAUUGAUGAUAAAUAAAUGGAUCUUACGGCCAUCGUGCCGGUGACAUAUCAUUCAAAUUUCCAUCCUAUCAUGUUUUGAUGGUAGGAAAGUGGCCGUCUCAACCAUAAACGAUGCCGACCAGGGAUCGGCGGAUGUUGCUUUUAGGACUCCGCCGGUACAUUACGAGAAAUCAAAGUUUAUAGGUUUUGGUGAGAGUACGGUCGCAAGGCUAAUAAUUAAAGGAAUUGAUGGAAAGGCACCACCAAGAAUGGAGCCUGUGGCUUAAUUUUACUCUACACGGGGAAACUUACCCGGUCCAGACAUAGUAAGGAUUGACAGACUGAGAGCUCUUUCUUGAUUCUAUGGGUGGUGGUGCAUGGCCAUUCUUAGUUGGUGGAGCGAUUUGUCUGGUUAAUUCCAUUAAUGAAUGAGACCUCAGCCUGCUAACUAGAUAUGCGGAGGUAUCCCUUCACUGCCAGCUUUUUAAACGGACUACGACCUUUUAGGACGCGGAAGUUUAAGGCAAUAACAUGUUUGUGAUUCCCCAUAGAUGUUCUGGGUCGCACGCACGCUACACUGAUGUAUUCAAUGAGUUUAUAGCCUUGGCCGAUAGGCCCGGGUAAUCUAUGAAAUUUCAUCGUGAUGGGGAUAGAUCAUUGCAAUUGUUGGUCUUCAACGAGGAAAUCCUAGUAGGCGGUUAUCAGCUCGCAUUGACUACGUCCCUGCCCUUUGUACACACCGCCCGUCGCUCCUACCGAUUGAAUGAUCCAGUGAAAUGUUCAGAUCACGGUAGCGUGGGUGGUUCACUGCCCGUUAUGUCGCGAAAAGUCCAUUGAACCUUAUCAUUUCAAGGAAGGAGAAUUUGUAACAAGUUUUGCAUAGAUGAACUUGCGGAAGGAUCAUUG